GUGGGGAAUCUUCCGCAAUGGACGAAAGUCUGACGGAGCAACGCCGCGUGAGUGAUGAAGGUCUUCGGAUUGUAAAGCUCUGUUAAUCGGGACGAAAGAGCCUAGUGUGAAUAAUGCUAGGAAGUGACGGUACCGGAAUAGAAAGCCACGGCUAACUACGUGCCAGCAGCCGCGGUAAUACGUAGGUGGCAAGCGUUGUCCGGAAUUAUUGGGCGUAAAGCGCGCGCAGGCGGAACUGCCAGUCUGUCUUAAAAGUUCGGGGCUUAACCCCGUGAUGGGAUGGAAACUACAGAUCUAGAGUAUCGGAGAGGAAAGUGGAAUUCCUAGUGUAGCGGUGAAAUGCGUAGAGAUUUGGAAGAACACCAGUGGCGAAGGCGACUUUCUGGACGAUGUCUGACGCUGAGGCGCGAAAGCUAGGGGAGCGAACGGGAUUAGAAACCCGAGUAGUCC
rnacentral:rRNA from 1 species